rnacentral:rRNA from 1 species
AUAUGCUUGUCCCAAAGAUUAAGCCAUGCAAGUCUUAGACGUAGUCGUAGCGAUGAAAUCUGCGAAGGGCUCCAUAUAUCUGUUGAAACCCACGACUGAACCUACACUCCGGUAGUCGACUAACCUAGGUAAUUCUUAGGCUAAUGCGUACUGUCAAAUGAAGGGGUCACCAGUGCGGCGAGGGAACGUGAACCGCCUCGUGUGAUGUCGAACCCCACGACCCGCCAGCGUGUAAAGCUAGGGGAUUUUAAAUCGUUAAAGGGGAACCGCAUCCGUGUGGACCCCUCCCUCCCCAGAGACAAGGCUGAUGAACCGAAACUGGGCGCGUCGCUAUUGCCAGCGUGCCGCGGUGGAGGCGUGCCUUCGAUCUCGACGCGGACCACAACCAUUUAUGAGCUUGUGCGAACACGCGCUUACUGUCAUGGACUUCAGACCUAUCAACUAAAGGGGAUGGCCAGGGCCUCCUCUGGUUUCAACGGGUACAGAGAAUCAGGGUUCGGUUCUGGAGAGGUAGCCUCAAACAUCGCUCCCACUUCUAAGGAAGGCAGCAGGCGCGCAACGUUCCCCAUGGGCAUGAACCUGAGGACGUGACGGGAUAUAGCGAUACUGGACCCCUAAAGGGCUCGGUAAUCGCAAUGGGGUGGGCGUAAACACCCCAAGGUCAAGCGAGUAACGAUUGGAGGACAAGUCUGGUGCCAGCACCCGCGGUAAUUCCAGCUCCAAUAGCAUCUAGUUAAGUUGUUGCAGUUAAAACGCUCGUAGUCAAUGUGGGCUUUUGGCCUUCCUAAGUAGCCGGCGUGGGCUGAGCGCUCUGGUGGGGGGUGGUCCCCUCGCAAGGGGGGGCUGCAGUCGCACUGUUAAUUCGGGUUCGCGCCUUUCCGCAAGGUUUGCUCCCGCUAGAGAUUAAACGCACCUACGCCGUCGAAGUGGAAUGUGCUGGGGGUCCUGGGCGCUCAGGACGAAAACCGGGGCAGGUUGGGUUGUACGAAAGUGCCGCACCUCUGUACGUGUGCUGAGUGCAUUAUACUUUGAAUAAAUUAAAGCGCUUGACGCAGCCCUUCAUAGGGGCAGGAUACUUCAGCAAAGAAUAUCGGAACACGACACGAUCGUGGUUCGUUGGUUACAUGAUCCUGUAAUGAUUAAUAGGGGCGAUCGGGGCGGGCCACAUGCCAGGGGUAGGGGUGAAAUCCGUUGAUCCUUGGUAGGUGAACAAGAGCGAAAGCAGCCUGCAAGUACGCUUUCUUUGAUCAAGAACGAAAGCCUGGGGAUCGAAGAUGAUCAGAUACCAUCGUAGUCCAGACCCUAAAUGAUGCCGACCAUGGAUGGGCGCAAGUCCAUCCCGACCCAGUCUGGACCUUGUGGGAAACCAUGAAGUGUUUGGGCUCCGGGGGGAGUAUGGUCGCAAGACUGAAACUUAAAGGAAUUGACGGAAGAGCACACAAGGAGUGGAGCCUGCGGCUUAAUUUGACUCAACACGGGGAAACUUACAGGGGCAUGAAGGCGAAUUGCAGGUCAGGCGAGCAGGCCUUUCCUAAGUCGUCCAGUGGUGGUGCAUGGUCGUUCUUAGUUCGUGGAGUGAUUUGUCUGGUCUAUUCCGCUAACGAGCGAGAACCUGGCUUCUUGAGUUGGGGGCUGGCGCACGUGGGGUGUAAGGGCCCGCCUGGGGGUGGGGUGGGGUGGGGGGGGCAACCCCUCCGUCUCUUCCGUCCUUGGGUGGGUUCGAUAAGCCUCGCUGAAAACGCGCCUGGCUUCUGGCCUUGAGGCACCUGCCUUGAAAAGAGGUCGGUAGCAGGUCAAUAACAGGUCAGUGAUGCCCUUAGAUGCCCUUGGCCGCACGCGCGCUACAAUGGGGGGGGGAGCGGGUUGCCUGUGCCUAACGGCUGCGGGUAAUCCUGGGAAAGCUCUCCAUGUCUGGGAUCGAGGCGUGCAAAACGUCUCGUGAACAAGGAAUUUCUAGUAG